rnacentral:rRNA from 1 species
UUGAUCCUGGCUCAGAUUGAACGCUGGCGGCAUGCCUUACACAUGCAAGUCGAACGGCAGCACGGGGGCAACCCUGGUGGCGAGUGGCGAACGGGUGAGUAACAUAUCGGAACGUGCCCUGGAGUGGGGGAUAACUAGUCGAAAGAUUAGCUAAUACCGCAUACGAUCUACGGAUGAAAGUGGGGGAUCGCAAGACCUCAUGCUCGUGGAGCGGCCGAUAUCUGAUUAGCUAGUUGGUGGGGUAAAGGCCUACCAAGGCAUCGAUCAGUAGCUGGUCUGAGAGGACGACCAGCCACACUGGGACUGAGACACGGCCCAGACUCCUACGGGAGGCAGCAGUGGGGAAUUUUGGACAAUGGGCGCAAGCCUGAUCCAGCAACGCCGCGUGAGUGAAGAAGGCCUUCGGGUUGUAAAGCUCUUUUGUCAGGGAAGAAACGGUGGAGGUUGAUACCUUCUGCUAAUGACGGUACCUGAAGAAUAAGCACCGGCUAACUACGUGCCAGCAGCCGCGGUAAUACGUAGGGUGCAAGCGUUAAUCGGAAUUACUGGGCGUAAAGCGUGCGCAGGCGGUUGUGCAAGACAGAUGUGAAAUCCCCGGG